CAGCAGUGGGGAAUUUUGGACAAUGGGGGCAACCCUGAUCCAGCCAUUCCGCGUGAGUGAAGAAGGCCUUCGGGUUGUAAAGCUCUUUCUGCAGGAACGAAACGGCGAGCUCUAACAUAGCUCGUUAAUGACGGUACCUUAAGAAGAAGCACCGGCUAACUACGUGCCAGCAGCCGCGGUAAUACCUAGGGUGCGAGCGUUUAUUGGAAUUACUGGGCGUAAAGCGUGCGCAGGCGGUUGUGUAAGACACGUGUGAAAUCCCCGGGCUUAACCUGGGAACUGCGCUUGUGACUGCUACGGCUAGAGUAUGGCAGAGGGGGGUGGAAUUCCACGUGUAGCAGUGAAAUGCGUAGAGAUGUGGAGGAACACCGAUGGCGAAGGCAGCCCCCUGGGCCAAUACUGACGCUCAUGCACGAAAGUCGUGGGGAGCAAACAGGAUUAGAUACCCUGGUAGUCCACGCCCUAAACGAUGUCGACUAGGUGUUCGGUGAGGAGACUCA
rnacentral:rRNA from 1 species